CGGCGUGCUUAACACAUGCAAGUCGAGCGAAGCGCUUAAACGGAUUUCUUCGGAAUGAAGUUUUUGUGACUGAGCGGCGGACGGGUGAGUAACGCGUGGGCAACCUGCCCCAUACCGGGGGAUAACAGCUGGAAACGGCUGCUAAUACCGCAUAAGCGCACAGUGCCGCAUGGUACGGUGUGAAAAACUCCGGUGGUAUGGGAUGGGCCCGCGUUGGAUUAGCCAGUUGGCAGGGUAACGGCCUACCAAAGCGACGAUCCAUAGCCGGCCUGAGAGGGCGACCGGCCACAUUGGGACUGAGACACGGCCCAAACUCCUACGGGAGGCAGCAGUGGGGAAUAUUGCACAAUGGGGGAAACCCUGAUGCAGCGACGCCGCGUGAGCGAAGAAGUAUUUCGGUAUGUAAAGCUCUAUCAGCAGGGAAGAAAAUGACGGUACCUGACUAAGAAGCCCCGGCUAACUACGUGCCAGCAGCCGCGGUAAUACGUAGGGGGCAAGCGUUAUCCGGAUUUACUGGGUGUAAAGGGAGCGUAGACGGGACAGCAAGUCUGAUGUGAAAGGCAGGGGCUCAACCCCUGGACUGCAUUGGAAACUGUUGACCUGGAGUACCGGAGGGGUAAGCGGAAUUCCUAGUGUAGCGGUGAAAUGCGUAGAUAUUAGGAGGAACACCGGUGGCGAAGGCGGCUUACUGGACGGUAACUGACGUUGAGGCUCGAAAGCGUGGGGAGCAAACAGG
rnacentral:rRNA from 1 species